rnacentral:lncRNA from 1 species
AAAAAAAAAAAAAAAAAGAAAGAAAAAAAAAGAGAGAGAGAGAGAGACUUGGCUGAACUCAGGGUUCUUGAGAGCUCUCAGCUGGAGUUGUUUUGCUCUGUGUUGCUCCUCCUUCUUCCCCAGCGGACACAUCAAGCUCCCAGCUAUGCUCUUUGCUUGGACAAGCUCAGAGAGCUCCCAGGGCAAUUUGAGGAAGCCCUGGGCGUGCUGUCAAUGUACUUGCUACCAGAGCUGUCACUUGCCUGCUUUGGAGACGUCCACGUGCUGUUAGCCACAAGGGCAGGUUGCUGCCAUCCUGAGGCCGCAGGCUUGUCUGGGCUCCAAUGCCAUGCUCUGUGCAGCAGGUCACAGGGAAGAAGUCACCUCUUACUGUGAACCCUGAGGCUCCUCCAUGUCUCUGGCAGGCUUGGUGUUCCCUUAGGUGUUUUUUUCCUGUACAUUCACAGUUGGAAAUAAGUAAAGCCUUCGCUUACUUACAGUGCUCUUUUUUUUUUUUUUGAGUGUGUUUUAAUAUAGCUCUAUAGCCAGGACAUGUCUAAGCACGUGGAAAGGCCAUUUGUCUUCUUUGUGUUAGCUUGGUUGGCAAAUGUGACAUCAAGUAUCUCAGUCUGAGCAGGAUUUGCAAGUGUACUAUGGUUUUGGGGAAGGGAAAGGCUUUUCAAACUGCUCUUGGGUCUGACCUCAGAGUUCCAAAUACACGGAGACGCCAUUUCAACCCUUGGCAGUAGGCUUGCAGCCAUCCAAAUCUGAUUGGAGCAACCACAAUACCUGGUGUUCUUCUGACACAGCCUUCUGACUUAGCUUUGCCAUUACAAGCUUGGUUUAGUUGUUUUUUAUUGUUCUGGUUGCUCUUAGAUUUGAUAUACCAGUUACUAUCUAAAAAGGUGACUCAGGCCAGGGUGGUUCAGGUUGGGAUCUGAGACUUGCCACAAACUGGUGUGAUAAAGUGAGUUCCUUCAACCACCUGUCUCAGUUAUUGUAAAAUAACAAAAGUGAACUGAGGGUAUUUCUUUUUUCUCCCCCUAUUUAAAUGGAGGCUUGUAGAAGAAUGCACCUCACUGCUUU